rnacentral:rRNA from 1 species
AUUGAACGCUGGCGGCAGGCCUAACACAUGCAAGUCGAACGGUAACAGGAAGACGCUUGCUUCUUUGCUGACGAGUGGCGGACGGGUGAGUAAUGUCUGGGAAACUGCCUGAUGGAGGGGGAUAACUACUGGAAACGGUAGCUAAUACCGCAUAACGUCGCAAGACCAAAGAGGGGGACCUUCGGGCCUCUUGCCAUCGGAUGUGCCCAGAUGGGAUUAGCUAGUAGGUGGGGUAACGGCUCACCUAGGCGACGAUCCCUAGCUGGUCUGAGAGGAUGACCAGCCGCACUGGAACUGAGACACGGUCCAGACUCCUACGGGAGGCAGCAGUGGGGAAUAUUGCACAAUGGGCGCAAGCCUGAUGCAGCCAUGCCGCGUGUAUGAAGAAGGCCUUCGGGUUGUAAAGUACUUUCAGCGGGGAGGAAGGGAGUAAAGUUAAUACCUUUGCUCAUUGACGUUACCCGCAGAAGAAGCACCGGCUAACUCCGUG